AUGGGCAGCCCCCAGCCAACAGCCAACCAGAAUCUAUUUAAUAUGAUUGUAGAAAUAUCUCGGUGGACAAAUGCUAAAAUGGAGAUUGCCACCAAGGAGCCACUGAAUCCCAUUAAACAAUAUGUAAAGGAUGGAAAGCUAUGCCAUGUGGCGAAUAUCUUCCCUUACAAGGGUUAUAUAUGGAAUUAUGGUACCCUCCCUUGGACUUGGGAAGAUCCCCAUCAAAAAGACAAGAGCGCAAACUGCUGUGGAGAUAAUGAUCCCAUUGAUGUUUGUGAAAUAGGCUCAAAGAUUGCUUCUUGUGGAGAAGAUAUUCAAGUGAAGAUCCUCGGAAUUUUGGCUCUUAUUGAUGAAGGUGAAACAGAUUAGAAAUUAAUUGCUAUCAAUGUGAAUGAUCCUGAAGCCUCAAAGUUUCAUGACAUUGAUGAUGUUAAGAAGUUGAAACCGGGUUACCUCGAAGCUACCCUUAAUUGGUUUAGAUUAUAUAAGGUACCAGAUGGAAAACCAGAAAACCAGUUUGCUUUCAAUGGAGAAUUCAAAAACAAGGCUUUUGCUCUCGAAGUUGUUAAAUCCACUCAUCAAUGUUGGAAGCAUUGCUUAUGAAGAAGUGUAAUGGAGGGACUGUAAAUUGCACAAAUGUGCAGAUAUCUGACAGACCUUUUCACUGCACUCAAGAGGAAGCAAGAUCAUUAGUUGAAUCGGUAUCAUCUUCACCAAAUAAAGAAAGUAAUAAUGAAGAGCAAGUGUGGCACUUCCUUGGCAAGUGACUGGAACAUUUGAAAUUCUGCUGUCAAGAUUCCAGUCUCUAAGGACUUCAAGACUCUUUUUUUUCCCCAAGUGCCAGAGACAAGGCAGGUCUAUGAGCAUUUACUGACUUCCUGUCGAAACUUCAUUUUUUUUUCAAACUUUUUGAGAUAUGCAAUAUAUAAAUAAACAGUAAGAAUUUUGAAUU